AUUGAACGCUGGCGGCAGGCUUAACACAUGCAAGUCGAGCGGGGUGAUGGUGCUUGCACUAUCACUUAGCGGCGGACGGGUGAGUAAUGCUUAGGAAUCUGCCUAUUAGUGGGGGACAACAUCUCGAAAGGGAUGCUAAUACCGCAUACGUCCUACGGGAGAAAGCAGGGGAUCACUUGUGACCUUGCGCUAAUAGAUGAGCCUAAGUCGGAUUAGCUAGUUGGUGGGGUAAAGGCCUACCAAGGCGACGAUCUGUAGCGGGUCUGAGAGGAUGAUCCGCCACAGUGGGACUGAGACACGGCCCAGAAUCCUACGGGAGGCAGCAGUGGGGAAUAUUGGACAAUGGGGGGAACCCUGAUCCAGCCAUGCCGCGUGUGUGAAGAAGGCCUUAUGGUUGUAAAGCACUUUAAGCGAGGAGGAGGCUCUUUUGGUUAAUACCCAAGAUGAGUGGACGUUACUCGCAGAGUAAGCACCGGCUAACUCUGUGCCAGCCGCCGCAGUAA
rnacentral:rRNA from 1 species